UAAGGAAUAUUGGCCAAUGGACGCAAGUCUGAACCAGCCAUGCCGCGUGAAGGAAGACGGCCCUACGGGUUGUAAACUUCUUUUGUACGGGAAAAAAUCUCCGGUCGUGAAUCGGAGCUGAUGGUACCGUAAGAAUAAGCAUCGGCUAACUCCGUGCCAGCAGCCGCGGUAAUACGGAGGAUGCAAGCGUUAUCCGGAUUCAUUGGGUUUAAAGGGUGCGCAGGCGGAAUGAUAAGUCAGUGGUGAAAUCCUACGGCUCAACUGUAGAACUGCCAUUGAUACUGUCGUUCUUGAGUACACUUGGAGUGGGCGGAAUGUCUCAUGUAGCGGUGACAUGCCUAGAUAUGACACAGAACACCGAUCGCGAAGGCAGCUCACUAAAUUGUAACUGACGCUAAGGCACGAAAGCGUGGGGAUCAAACA
rnacentral:rRNA from 1 species